GAUGAACGCUAGCGACAGGCUUAACACAUGCAAGUCGAGGGGCAGCAUAGAAGUAGCAAUACUUUGGUGGCGACCGGCGCACGGGUGAGUAACGCGUAUGCAACCUACCUAUCAGAGGGGAAUAACCCGGCGAAAGUCGGACUAAUACCGCAUAAAACAGGGGCACCGCAUGGUGAUAUUUGUUAAAGAAAUUCGCUGAUAGAUGGGCAUGCGUUCCAUUAGGUAGUUGGUGAGGUAACGGCUCACCAAGCCGACGAUGGAUAGGGGAACUGAGAGGCUGGUCCCCCACACUGGUACUGAGACACGGACCAGACUCCUACGGGAGGCAGCAGUGAGGAAUAUUGGUCAAUGGGCGAGAGCCUGAACCAGCCAAGUCGCGUGAAGGAAGAAGGAUCUAUGGUUCGUAAACUUCUUUUGCAGGGGAAUAAAGUGCAGGACGUGUCCUGUUUUGUAUGUACCCUGAGAAUAAGGAUCGGCUAACUACGUGCCAGCCGCCGCAGUAA
rnacentral:rRNA from 1 species